rnacentral:rRNA from 1 species
CCUACGGGUGGCAGCAGUCGGGAAUAUUGCGCAAUGGAGGAAACCCUGACGCAGUGACGCCGCGUGCAGGAAGAAGGACUUCGGAUUGUAAAGCGCUUUCGACAGGGAAGAAAAUAGAGAGAACUUGUAGAAUAAGCUCGGGCUAACUACGUGCCAGCAGCCGCGGUAAUACGUAGGGAGCAAGCGUUAUCCGGAUUUAUUGGGUGUAAAGGGUGCGUAGACGGAGAAGCAAGUUGGUUGUGAAAUCCCUCGGCUUAACUGAGGAACUGCAACUAAAACUACUUCCCUUGAGUACAGGAGAGGUAAGCGGAAUUCCUAGUGUAGCGGUGAAAUGCGUAGAUAUUAGGAGGAACACCGGUGGCGAAGGCGGCUUUCUGGACUGUAACUGACGUUGAGGCUCGAAAGUGUGGGGAGCAAACAGGAUUAGAUACCCGAGUAGUC